UAUUGAAGAUACAAUUGUGUAGAUUUGUUAAAUGGUUUGAACGAAGAUAAAACGUUUGAAAAUGUAUUUAGUUACUGUCUGAAGAAAGUAGUCUAAACCGGAUCGCUUUUAACUCACUUCAUUUGUAAAAGGCCUACGUGCAGGUUAACCGGAAGUUUUGAUUAAUGGGUACAUAAGCACUCAAAAUAUGUGUAUCUUUUAUAAAAUGUAUCCAAAAUAGUGUUAAAGUCUAGUUUAAGAGGUGGCAAGAACCACAAAUAACAUGUAUGAUGGCCCAUGGCAGUAUAAUUUCGAACCUGUCAGACGUGAGAGGGCAAAUGGGGAAUUGCCGAGAACUGAUGGCGGUGAAAGCCAAUUAAAUGGGUGGUCAAAGGAGAAUGAGUGGAGAGUUGCUAUCAUUUAGCAACGCAGCAACGAGCACUGGAGCUAGUCAAUGAACAGCAGUGCAUACAAUAACGACACUUUUAUUUAUUUUUACUGUCAGUGAAUAGCACAGAGUGAAAGUCAACGUUUUCUUUAUAUCUAGUGACAGCGAUUAUGUCGUAAGUACUGGUAAACUUAGUCAGAAGAUCUAGAAAUAGAAGGCAUAAUGCUAGCUAUGGGCUAACUUAGCCUAUCAGACACGCAAUCAGUGCACUUGCAAAUGAGUGCCUGCAAGUAUAACCGAUCGUGGUGUGACAUUAUUUAACCGGCUUCCUCACCUGUCUAAAGGUGCUGCCAUCUGUGUCUGGAGUAGUUAUUACAGCUUGUAUGUUUGAUCCUGCUCCCUUGUGGCUAUGUGGGGGUAAUGCAAUGUUUAAUCCUGCUCCCAUUUGGCUAUGUGGGGGUAAUGCAGCUUAUGUGCUUAAGAGCGUUUAGAGAGUUUGCAUGCCUGCUGUAUGCCUCGAUGUUGUUAAGUGUAUUUUGCUAGCUAGUUAACUGUAGUUAAAAUGUUGUAGGUCAACCACUCCCAGAGGUCCGGAGAAACACCCUUGAAAACUUGGGUUGUAGCUAGAGAAGAUGGAGAGGUUGUUACAGCACACUGUAACUGUAUGGCUGGAUUGUCAGAAUCCUGCUCACAUGUUGGAGCGGUUCUGUUCGCUAUAGAUGCAGGUGUGAAGAUGAGAGAGCAUCCUGCACCACUGAAAAGUGCAAAUGGCUAAUGCCAUCGCAUGUCAAAAAGGUAUUCAGAUGCAUGUUUUUCUGAGGUGAAUCAGGGGUGAAAAAUAUGACAGUUGAGGACCUAUACAUUCACUUAUCACGCAAACAACACAUUUUGGAUUGUUUUGGGAUGCAGUUUAGUUUAGAUUUUGGCAGUUUUAUACUUCAUGUAUGUAGGUGCACCUACAUGUAUGUUGUUCACACACACAUGUUCUCUGUCUCUCACACCGAUUCCUGCUGCUUGAGUUGCAAUGAUUGACUUUUCAUCUGCAAAAUCCAAAAAGAAAAAACUUGAUGAUGCCAUUGCUGGGAGGACAGGUGAGCAACUCGCACUACCUCGUCCCACAGUCCAGUGUCCAAGAGUGAAGCAAGGAUCAGAGGCAUAUGUUCAGUUUUUCGAGUCUUUGAGCAGAAAUGCCCCAAGAAGUGCUGCACUGAUGUCCAGGGCACCAUAUUACAAAGAAUUUGUCCUGAAGUCUGUGAGCAAGCUACCCAAAAUACUUAUUCAGUAUAGAAAACCAGAGAUGCUACAGCUAUCCCCAACAGAGUUGCAAAAAGCAUGCCAGGACUUCAGACAGGAAGAGCUGACACCGUUACAGGUCCAGGCAGUAGAGGAGGAGACCAGAAAACAGAGCUCAUCAACUCUAUGGUUUAGCCAAAGAGCAGGAAGGAUAACAGCCUCGAAAUUGAAGCAGGUUCUACAAACUAGUCUUCUCCAGCCGUCAAGGUCAUUGAUCAAGUCGAUAUGCUACCCAGAGGCAUACAAGUUUUCUACUGCAGCAACAAGGUAUUUAUUAGGCAAAGAUAAGGGUUAGGUUAGGACAGCACAGGUGUGAAAAUCUAAAAUGUACUAAUUAUUAUUGUACAAUAAUAAGUUAUUUUCCUAUUCCUAUUUUUAUACAUUACAGGUAUGGAUGCAAAUAUGAGGCAACUGCCAGAAAGCAGUAUGAAGGACUGCAAAGUCUGCACCACCAGAGCUUCUCCUGUAGGGAUAUCGGGCUGUUGCUGAAUCCCAAAUGGCCAUACAUGGGAGCGUCACCAGAUGGAUGUGUCACGUGCACCUGUCAUGGAACUGGCAUCUGUGAGAUAAAGGGAAGUUGUGGUUUUAUAUUACGUCUACAAAUAUCAUCCUCACAAUAACAUUUUAUAUUAUUACUUUGUAAUUUCUUCUCCACACAUGUAAGUACUUAUACACUGACUGUUUUGUGUCUUGUAUUGAAAAUCUUAUAAAUAAAUAGAGAAAAGGUAAGUUAUUUGUUCAGUAUUGUGCUACAGUAGAGUAGGUAGGUAUAGGGAUUUUGACAUCUGAUCCGGGAUCUGGGGAUCCUCCCCUCAGAAAUGUUUAGCUUAUCUACAGUAGAAUGUGACUUUUUUUUAUUGUGAACUUUUAGUGCCCACACAGCAAAGAAGAGGAGGCCAAUCUACGCCUGUGUGCUGGGGACCAGGGCUUCUGUCUCAUCAACGAUGGGGGAACUGUGAAGCUGGACAGGAGCCAUGCUUACUUCUAUCAAGUACAGGCUCAGCUCCACAUCGUUGACGUUGAUUACUGCGACUUCGUUGUCUGGAGUAAAAAGGACCUCUUUGUAGAGAGAAUCGUGCGUGAUGUGGACCUGUGGGACAACAUCAUUCCCAGAGUUGAGACUUUCUUCCGUCUAUGUGUUCUUCCUGAAGUGUUGGGACAGCAACUUACAAAGUGAAAGUGUUUCAGUUGCAAGUUGAUCAGGUGGAGGGGAAGGUACCAGGACCAGAGGACACCUGUGGUCUGUCCUGGAAGUUUUGGUCUGUCCUGGAAGUCCUGGAAGUUUUGGAUCUUUACUCGUUGCACGUUUUUUUGCAUAGUGGCAGCUCUAGUCACAUUUUGUGUCUAUGUAUUAAUUCUAUCAGUGAUCAUAAUCACAUGUAUUCCAGCACUUGCUGAUGAUUUAUUUCAAGUUUGAAGCUACUUUUAUUCAAUCUUUAUGGACUUGUACUUCUGUGUGUUAUACCCAUUAAUUGUAAAUGUAGAGUCAUAAGUGUAUGUGCCUUUGAAAUGUUGACUAUGGAUUAUGCAUUUCCUUAUAAAUUAUGCAUUUCCGUAUACUCAUGGCUUGUUUCCCCGUCACUUCCAAAGAAAAUACACCAUUACUGUAUCUAUGGGGGAGAAAAGUAUAUUUACAAAGAUAUAUUGCAUUAAAUAUUUAUGGAUUCUUGUUAGAGAAAUAUUCUAAUUCGAUAGUUCAGGAAAGCUGAUAACCUUUCAAAUAAUGAACCACAGAGUCAGGAGUCAGAUUUCAAAGCAUGGUCUAUUUUUACCUGCCAGCAGGGCAAAAACUUGUGAACAUGAACAAAAUAUUGGGUUUUAAGUUUACGGAGACAAAAAAAGCAAACAGUGCAAUGCAUUUUAUACAACCAAUGAGGAAAUAUAUUUCCUUGACAAUUCUUUACACAAUAGAAUGAACAAGUAUAUAUAAAAAGGUAUAUUACAUUCAGAUAUUUAUGGCAUAUAUAUAUUUCAGAAUACAAUAGAAGAUAUUUACUCCAGUGGGACAACAGAGUCACAAAGAUUUGUUACUGCACAGCAAAUUACACCAAUCUUAUCAAUCAACGCUAGCUGAUCACCUCCUUUUACUGACAUGUUUUCAAUGGGCAUUGCCCUGCUCUGCAGAAUUUGAUAUUUUCUUCGUACUAAUCCUAUGACCCUUUCUACAUGAAUGCGAACAUUAGCAAAUGUUCUUGUUUCCUCUACCUCGAAUGCAGAUAGCUGGCUCUUCCCUUUUGUGAAAGCUGGCAUCUUCAAUGAAGCACAGUAAAAUCCUACACUAUCCCCUAUAUUAAAGCCACGGUCAGCCACACUGGAAAAAGCCUUCUGUUGAACCAAUUAAAAAAAACAAGGGUAAUGGUUCACAUCUAUAUUACAUAACUUGAGCCAAUGACAAAUAUAUAGCUUGCCUCAAACAAUAUUUCCUAUGUUCAU